rnacentral:rRNA from 1 species
AUGAACGCUAGCGGCAGGCUUAACACAUGCAAGUCGAGGGGCAACACGGGUAGCAAUACCUGGUGGCGACCGGCGCAAGGGUGCGUAACGCGUGAGCAACAUGCCCUAUACAGGGGGAUAAUCCAGGGAAACUUGGUCUAAUAUCCCAUAGUAUUUAGAGGUGGCAUCACCACUAAUUAAAGCUUCGGUGGUAUAGGGAUUGGCUCGCGUGACAUUAGCUGGAUGGUGGGGUAACGGCUCACCAUGGCGAUGAUGUCUAGGGGUUCUGAGAGGAAGACCCCCACACUGGGACUGAGACACGGCCCAGACUCCUACGGGAGGCAGCAGUGAGGAAUAUUGGACAAUGGAUGGAAAUCUGAUCCAGCCAUGCCGCGUGCAGGAAGACGGCCCUAUGGGUUGUAAACUGCUUUUAUAUGGGAGCAAUAAGGUUUACGCGUAGACCGAUGAGAGUACCAUAUGAAUAAGCAUCGGCUAACUCCGUG